rnacentral:rRNA from 1 species
GGGGAAUAUUGCGCAAUGGGCGAAAGCCUGACGCAGCGACGCCGCGUGGGGGAGGAAGGCCCCAGGGUUGUAAACCCCUGUCAGGUGGGACGAACCCCGGUACGUCGAACAGGCGUACCGACUGACGGUACCACCAGAGGAAGCUCCGGCUAACUCCGUGCCCGCAGCCGCGGUAAUACGGAGGGAGCAAGCGUUGUCCGGAUUUACUGGGUGUAAAGGGCGCGCAGGUGGGUUUGCAAGUCAGAGGUGAAAUCUCACGGCUUAACCGUGAAAGUGCCCUUGAUACUGCAAAUCUUGAGUUCGGAAGAGAGAGACGGAAUUCCAGGUGUAGUGGUGAAAUACGUAGAUAUCUGGAAGAACACCAGUUGCGAAGGCGGUCUCUUGGUCCGAUACUGACACUCAGGCGCGAAAGCGUGGGUAGCAA